rnacentral:rRNA from 1 species
GACGAACGCUGGCGGCGUGCUUAACACAUGCAAGUCGAACGGAAAGGCCCUGCUUUUGUGGGGUGCUCGAGUGGCGAACGGGUGAGUAACACGUGAGUAACCUGCCCUUGACUUUGGGAUAACUUCAGGAAACUGGGGCUAAUACCGGAUAGGAGCUCCUGCUGCAUGGUGUGGGUUGGAAAGUUUCGGCGGUUGGGGAUGGACUCGCGGCUUAUCAGCUUGUUGGUGGGGUAGUGGCUUACCAAGGCUUUGACGGGUAGCCGGCCUGAGAGGGUGACCGGCCACAUUGGGUCUGAGAUACGGCCCAGACUCCUACGGGAGGCAGCAGUGGGGAAUAUUGCACAAUGGGCGGAAGCCUGAUGCAGCAACGCCGCGUGCGGGAUGACGGCCUUCGGGUUGUAAACCGCUUUCGCCUGUGACGAAGCGUGAGUGACGGUAAUGGGUAAAGAAGCACCGGCUAACUACGUG